CGAGCGCACCCUUCGGGGCGAGCGGCGGACGGGUUAGUAACGCGUGGGAACGUACCCUUCUCUAUGGAAUAGCCAUUGGAAACGAUGAGUAAUACCAUAUACGCCCUUCGGGGGAAAGAUUUAUCGGAGAAGGAUCGGCCCGCGUUAGAUUAGAUAGUUGGUGGGGUAAUGGCCUACCAAGUCUACGAUCUAUAGCUGGUUUUAGAGGAUGAUCAGCAACACUGGGACUGAGACACGGCCCAG
rnacentral:rRNA from 1 species